rnacentral:lncRNA from 1 species
GGAACCACCUCCUCGCGGAUCACCAAGUUGGAGAGGAUCUGAGCCAUCCAUCGGGUACCCGUCCAACGCUGGAUCUUCUCUUGAAAAAAAAAACCUAAUCCACCUACCCACCAACCUAGAUCCGAUCGAGGCCACCCUGCCUUCCUCUCCCUUGUCUCGUCUCCCUACCGCAAUUCCUUCCAUCACCAUUCCCACCCACCGCCGCCGCCCCCACCCACCGUCGACCUUGUCUCCGCCACGCAUCCUCUCCCCCUCCCCUCGCCUUCAUCCCCCAGAUCGAGCAAGCCACGAUUCCAUCGUCGGUGCCACCUCCCCUCCAUGGACGGAGAUCCACUCGAGCUCAUCCUCUCCAAUCUCGUCGCCGACGAUGACCCCCAACACCACACCAAUCGGCGAAUGUCUCCCGGACCCACCNNNNNNN